UCCUCGGUAGCUCAGCGGUAGAGCGGUCGGCUGUUAACCGAUUGGUCGCAGGUUCGAAUCCUGCCCGGGGAG
rnacentral:tRNA from 10 species